CGCGCAGCCCCCGCGCGCGCGCCCAAGGGAAAGCGAGCACCGCGCGCCGGCGCGCACACCCGAGACAGAGCUUUACUAUCUCGCUCCCUCUCGCGCCUCCCUCCUCGCUGGGCAUUCCAACAGCUUUCCGACAUCACCAGCCAAGGAUUUUUCCCCCUCUCCUUAGUCGCCGUCCGUCCAUCAGUACCUGCAGGGGGGAGGAGGAGGAGGGAGGAAAGCGGAAAGAGGAAAGAGCAUAAGCUUGAGCCUUCCGAUCCGACCACGAAUACUCCCGUAAUAAACCCACCGCCCCAACAAAUCUGCCAUAGCAGCCGCCGCCGCCGCCGGUCACUUCUCGUCUCAGCGCUUUCUUUGCUUCUUGGCUAAUCGGUUUGUUGGGGGUAGCUUUUAUGAAACAAAUCUUCGCUCUUAAGCCACUUACAUUUUGGGGGGUUCCUUAGAGUCUCCCUUGGGGGGGCUUCUCCUCCCUUUAGCCCCCCUCGGAUUGGAGGUUGGAUUCAGUUGGAUACGGCGCAAGGUUCUGGGCUCCUGGUGGCUUUUUUUUUUCUCUCUCUCUCAUCGACCCCCCUUUCGUUCCCACCCCUCACCUUUUGCUUUUCGUAUGUAUGCAUUUUUAAAAAUAAAUCCUGAUUUUGGAAGCUGAGCCGGGGAAAAUGGGCAACGGUGAUUGGGACCGAAGGGGAGUCUCUCCGUCACUGUUGCUGGGACGCGUGCCUGUGCUGGUGUCUUAGAGCAAGAGCCUCCCUGAGCUUUCGGAGUGGAAGAACAGUGGAAGAGACUGCAGCCUAAAGACUUUUAAAAUUAACUUGGCAUCACUUUUAUCAGCUCAAAGGCUAAACAAACAAACAAACAAAAAGCAGUGUCAUUUAUUCUAAGAAAUAACUUCUUAAAGGUUAAAGCUGAAAAAUAUUCAAGUUAUUUUUGGAUAACAACUUACAGAGGCCAAAUGACAUAGGAUGAAGGCUGUUCGUAACCUGCUGAUUUAUAUAUUUUCCACCUAUCUCCUGGUUAUGUUUGGAUUUAAUGCUGCCCAAGACUUCUGGUGUUCAACUUUGGUGAAGGGAGUCAUUUAUGGAUCGUAUUCUGUAAGUGAAAUGUUUCCCAAAAACUUUACAAACUGCACUUGGACGCUGGAAAAUCCAGAUCCAACCAAAUAUAGCAUUUACCUGAAAUUUUCCAAAAAGGACCUUAGCUGCUCUAACUUUUCACUCCUGGCUUAUCAGUUUGAUCAUUUUUCCCAUGAAAAAAUAAAGGAUCUUUUAAGAAAGAAUCAUUCUAUAAUGCAACUCUGCAAUUCCAAGAAUGCUUUCGUUUUUCUACAAUAUGAUAAAAAUUUUAUUCAAAUACGUCGAGUAUUUCCAUCUGAUUUCCCAGGAUUACAGAAAAAAGGGGAAGAAGAUCAGAAAUCUUUUUUUGAGUUUUUGGUAUUGAACAAGGUCAGCCCAAGCCAAUUUGGUUGCCAUGUAUUAUGCACUUGGUUGGAGAGCUGCUUAAAAUCAGAAAAUGGGAGAACAGAAUCAUGUGGGAUCAUGUAUACAAAAUGCACCUGCCCUCAGCAUUUGGGAGAGUGGGGGAUCGACGACCAGUCGCUGGUUUUGUUAAAUAACGUGGUGUUACCCCUGAAUGAGCAGACAGAGGGCUGCCUGACCCAGGAGCUGCAAACCACCCAAGUCUGCAAUCUUACCAGGGAGGCCAAGCGACCACCCAAAGAAGGACACGGCUGA
rnacentral:lncRNA from 10 species